CCUCCAUCUCUCCUCCCCACCCCCAGAACUAAUGACGUAUGUGCAGCCUUUUCAGCUGAUUGGGUACCAUAUCGGAUGUUCUCUGAAGCAAAGAAUAGGAAUCAUUCGGUCAAUAGAAAAAAAAAUGGGAGCACGAAUUCUCCUAUGUCCUCAACCCUGGUCCCAGGAGUCCCACACAGGCAUCCAUCUGGGCGAGUUGCAGACCCAUUCUCUCCCCUCUCAGCUUGGACUUCUGGGGAUGCACUACUCCUGCUGGAAGAGCCUGUCUAGACGGCUGUUGGGUGUGAUGCUCUUUGCUUCUGGGAUGCCUCCACCAUCCAUCCAACUACUACAAGCUGCACAGCUAAGCCACAGAACAACUUCCAAGCUUAUCCUGACAUUUCCAAUUCACAUUCAUGAUGGCAAGGGGUUGCUUACUAAUCUGGAAAGAAGACAGAAGAAUUAUAUAAAGC